rnacentral:misc_RNA from 1 species
GAAUGGGGAGGUUUACUUGACUGCUCUUCUGCAGAAGCCUGUAUCAAGAUGAGAGUCAGAUACUGGGCUAUAGGUAACUUGAUUCUUAUAAUUUAUAAAAGUAGCCCCUUGCUGGUAGAUUUUCUUUCAUAGUCUAUAUAUGCAUAUGAAUUUAGCUUUCAUUGUUCAACUUGAUGAUAUUUUGCUUGCCUAAUGCAUUUAUGAUCUGAGCUGGAAAUAGGUAUCCUAAUGUAAAUGACAUUUAUAUAUUAGUUAAAGUGUUAUAUAUGAGUCAAAUUUCCAAAACUGUGUUUGAUUAAUUAAACCAUGAAAUCUAUUCUCAUCUAGAUGAUUUAUUUAACAUUGAUAUUCUCCAAACUCUUUCCUUUUGGGCUGUGUUUGCAUCACCUACUAGAAUCAAGGACAUUAGCUCUUUUUCUUACAAUGAUUUCAGUACUGUAUUCCAAAAUUGUGAAUUGUUAACCUCGUUGCAAUUGCUUUGAGAAAAUGUUAUUUUCAUCUUUCAUUUCACUAUAUAUUUUUCCCUGAAAAAUAUUUAAAUCCCCUGAUUUCUUGAAAUGAUGAAGUUACAUAAUAACAAUUGAGCAUAAUAUGCUGUGCUAAGUUGCAGUAUCCGCAUUUUUUGCAGCAUCUGAACAUGCGGUGACCUUUUCAAUAUAAUGUUAUCUCCUGAAAAAUAAAUUUUCCUUGUGAUAAAAGCUUACAUUGUUGAUUUGCACCAUUGAUUUUGUUUUUAGGGGGUGAAGGGUAUGAAGGAAAUUAAUUGUUGCUCUGCGAAUACAUCACUGAGAAUGAAAAACAUGUGUUGAGUAUUUUUGGUAGAUUAAUAGAGAAAUAGGUCCCUUUUCAUUUGUGUUAUUCUUCUGCGUGCACAGAUUUCAGGUUCUCCUGAACUAGCUCAAACACUAAUUAAGAAUAAUUACAAAACACAUUUGGGCAACUAAUACACCACUUGUAUGGUUGCUUGAUUAAAUGUGACUUGUUUAUCUGAUCUAGUACUUGGCAAUUGUGUUAUUGAAGUUAUCGUUUGGGGUUUUAAAACCAGUUUGUUAAAUUUACUGAGUUGCUGAUUUGCUUUGAUAACUUGUAACUCAGAUUUCAGACAAUAAACUUGGUUCAAUUUCUGCUGUUCCGGUCUGGUAUCAUUAUCAGAUCUCUCCAGAUUGGCUAGCAAAAGCGCAAGCUACCCUGUUCAAAAUUUAGAUGCUUGUUCAGAUAAAAGAUGUAAGCAGCCACCUCAGCAAUGAAGCAACUUACUUAUUGCCACAAAAUUGUCUAUAAAGAUUAUAGGAUGGGGUAAAAUCAGGAUUCAGGAAGGUUGUAGGCAGAACACAAUGAUUGAUCUUUAUUGGUUUUUGUAUUCAUAAGCAUGUUAAUUCAGUUAACUGUGUAGAAAUAAAUAAGCAGAACAAGCAUACAUUUCUGUUGCCCAUUGCCCAACAAGGCAACAAAUCUAUGAAAAUAAAAUUGGGAAUAUUAUUAUUUUGUCCCGGUAUUUAAAUGAAAUUAAAUAUUUAGUCCUUGUAUUUGAAGAACUAUACGAGUGAA